UGUCACAAUGUUACGCUGUGAUGUCACAAUGUUACGUUGUGAUGUCACAAUGUUACGUUGUGAUGUCACAAUGUUACGCUGUGAUC
rnacentral:miRNA from 14 species